AUUUUCAAUGACACGAACAACACCAACAGCUUACAACAUUCCAACCUCAGACUUGAUAAAACUGAAAGCAGCAACCAACCCACAAAUAUUAUCACUCUCUCCACAUACAUGCUUACCAAAACU